AUGAUUGCGAAGAUUAGGAAGAGUAAGCUCAGAACCUUUCAGAGAGAGAAAUCAAUAGCUGUGAGAUUUCUUAAGAUGUAUGAGUUGAAUGUCGCCUAGGAGCAGCUAUGCUGAAAGCGAAAGUAGGCUUAGCCGGAGCUGACCGUUAACAGUUUGAGGUGUGUAGUUUUUUGACUACAAACAAAGGUGGUACCGCGAAAUCAAACUCUCUUCGUCCUUUGG
rnacentral:ncRNA from 1 species